CAAAAUAAAAUUUUACUCAAAAUGUAAGUACUAGAAAUACGAUUAACUCUUUUCAUUUACUAUUUCUCUCAGCAGCCGUCGUCACCACUCAGCCGACAGCCUCACUGCCUCAGCAAUCUCCCUGCCCUGCCUCCCCAAAGCCGCAACGCCCGCACGCAGCUUCCACACGCAGCUUCCACACGCCUGCGCUGGAGCCAACGACGCCUCCAAUCCCUCAUCGGAAAAGACAGUGUUUUUGGCAUGUUAUAAGCCAAUCAAAGGGAAAACAGAAAACAAAAAAAAAAAAAAAAAAAAAAAAAAGAAAGAAGAUGAAAUCGGUUGUGGCUGUUGUUGUAUCAAAUAAGAUGCAGAAAUCAGUGGUAGUAGCAGUGGACAGGCUCUUCCAUAACAAACUUUACAAGCGUUACGUCAAACGCACCUCCAAGUUCAUGGCCCACGACGAAAAAGAUCAAUGCAACAUCGGCGACAGGGCCGUUGAGCAACCGUAAGCACUGGGUUGUUGCUGAAAUUCUCAAGAAAGCUAGAAUCUAUAUGCCCCUAUUGGUGGAUACUGCUGCAAAUGCAAGUGUCAAGAAUGAAGCACCACUUUCUUCGACCUCUUAAGGUUUGACUCCACUUCAUUGUACUUGGUUGCAAAUUUCAAAGUUUGUGAUUUCAUUUGAAAAAGACUCAUUACUGUUAUUGUGGUGCUUGUGAGCAAUAAAUUGUUUAUGAAGGUUGGAAUUUGAGAAAAUUUCUGUUUUUGAUGUGUUAUGAGCGUCAUUAUAUUGUCUUAAAACCGUGGGACAGUUUGUCCAAAGUUUGAGAGCUGUUAGCAAAUACAAAGUUCCUAUUGCUAAAUGAGGUGGAAUGUGUCUCACGCUUUGAAUAGCUUCUUUGACACUGGUUAAUGAGCGAAGAAAGUUGUUUGCUGUGUUGUGAUCUGGUUAAUUGUUCUGGCAGUUUUUAUUGGAUAUAAUGAAUGUUUGAACAAUUUAGGAAUGAGUUAGCUGGUUUGAUGAUAGAGAUGAGUGAUUGAUGUACAAUCAUCUAGUUUAAUUCUAAUAGAAGGGUUGAUGAACUACGAUGCUUAAUUAUUCUAACAGACCUUAGUUUUCCAUUUUGUUUCUUAAUCUCUUGUAUGGCCUUGCACUUAUAUGUUGCAAUUUUCAGUCGCAAUGUAAAAUUGAAAGAAGACAUAAAAUCAUCUAGCGAUGCCAGCUUCAAUAGCUUAACGCUGCGUGCUUGAUGCAGCGUAAAAUAUUUGUAGGAUGAAACGGGGGAAGAAAGUAAAGGAAAU